GGAAAAUCUCCUUUCAUCAUUUGUGAAGAUGCAGACGUUGAUAAAGCUGUUGAGUUGGCUCAUUCUGCUGUUUUCUUUAACCAGGGACAAUGCUGCUGUGCUGGAUCUCGGACAUUCGUACAUGAAAGAGUAUAUGAUGAAUUUGUGGAGAAAGCCAAAGCUCGUGCUUUAAAACGCAUUGUUGGAGACCCUUUCAAGAAGGGAGUUGAACAAGGUCCGCAGAUUGAUACAGAGCAAUUUGAGAAGAUCCUGAAGUACAUAAAAUCUGGUACUGAAAGCGGGGCUACUCUCGAGUCUGGAGGGGAAAAAUUGGGUUCCAAGGGCUUCUAUGUCCAACCUACUGUCUUCUCAAAUGUCCAGGAUAACAUGCUGAUUGCCAGAGAUGAGAUAUUUGGACCAGUGCAGUCCCUCUUGAAAUUCAAGGAUGUUGAAGAGGUCAUCCGAAGGGCAAACUCGUCACAUUAUGGGUUGGCAGCGGGUGUUUUUACCCAGAAUAUAGAUGCAGCCAACACAAUAUCUCGAGCCCUUAGAGUAGGGACAGUGUGGGUUAACUGCUUUAAC
rnacentral:misc_RNA from 1 species